UACGUAGGGUGCAAGCGUUGUCCGGAAUUAUUGGGCGUAAAGGGCGCGUAGGCGGCCUGGCAAGUGGAAGGUGAAAUCCCUCGGCUUAACCGAGGAACUGCCUCCCAAACUGCUUGGCUUGAGACCGGGAGAGGUGAGUGGAAUUCCCAGUGUAGCGGUGAAAUGCGUAGAUAUUGGGAGGAACACCAGUGGCGAAGGCGGCUCACUGGACCGGUACUGACGCUGAUGCGCGAAAGCGUGGGGAGCAAACGGG
rnacentral:rRNA from 1 species